rnacentral:rRNA from 1 species
GAGCCAGACUCCUACGGGAGGCAGCAGUGGGGGAUAUUGCACAAUGGGGGGAACCCUGAUGCAGCGACGCCGCGUGGGUGAAGAAGCGCCUCGGCGCGUAAAGCCCUGUCAGCAGGGAAGAAAAUGACGGUACCUGAAGAAGAAGCCCCGGCUAACUACGUGCCAGCAGCCGCGGUAAUACGUAGGUGGCAAGCGUUGUCCGGAUUUACUGGGUGUAAAGGGCGUGUAGCCGGGCUGACAAGUCAGAUGUGAAAUCCGGGGGCUCAACCCCCGAACUGCAUUUGAAACUGUUGGUCUUGAGUAUCGGAGAGGCAGGCGGAAUUCCUAGUGUAGCGGUGAAAUGCGUAGAUAUACGGAGGAACACCAGUGGCGAAGGCGGAUUGCUGGACAGUAACUGACGCUGAGGCGCGAAAGCGUGGGGAGCAAACAGGAUUAGAUACCCUCGUA